AAGGAUCAUUGCCACACCGAUCCAAGAUCGACACAAUAUGUGAACUGUCGAACCGUAUCGAUUCCAGAGUUCUUUCGGGAGCUUAGGAGUUGGUAUCUGGUUCACCCUUAACACUUAUCAACAUGAAUUUCCACUGGAACUAAAUGUUAUGCCGAGUUUGUCUUGACAUAGCGACUAGAUUAUAAAUUGUAAACAACUUUUAACAAUGGAUAUCUAGGUUCUU
rnacentral:misc_RNA from 1 species